rnacentral:lncRNA from 1 species
GUACUAAGAAAAUGCACAAAAGAUAGCUCCAGCCCCCUCUGCUUGACAACUAUGCAAAACCAAAGUUCAACUCCUCUCCGACCCUCAAAGACUUUGUCGAGUCACCGGAGGUUUCAUCGAAGCGGUGAAAAUAGGUACACUCCGUCUCUCUCCAGAAACAAUCGGUGAAGACAUUGCAAAGAAAACUGUAAGGAAUCGGAAUGAUCUCCAGGUCACCGUGCAAAAUCAUCUAUUUUAUAUGAAUUUUUACUUCUCCGCCCUUAUCUCUCGUGGUCGGACUUAACGGCAGAGGACGGCGGUGAUAAGCCAAGCCUUGAUUCCGACGAGUUGUUCAUCUUCCCCCAGACUUUAACUUCUCCAACAACUAACACUACAAUUAAUAAGUAUUUGGGGAGUCUUCUUUGACCUCCUCUUUAAUACUCUUUCGGUUGAGUUUGAAAUUUAGUUAUUUAUGUUCAAUGUCAGAUCCAUAUUUGUUGUUGCAUAUGGUAUUUCUGUACAAAUUAGAGAAAUUAAUAUUUUAACCUUAGGUUUAAAAUUGUGGCUUUUUAGAAAUUGGGGGAUUUUAGAAUCGAACUGAUCUCUAAAAUGCAGACAGUUUUAUUUGGAGUUCAAAGGCAACAAAUGGAGUAGAACUACAAUGAAGCUGCUUGAUAGAGGACGAUUUAUUUAGCGAGAUAAUGAAUUUAAUUUUCACUUCAUGAUAUUUCAUUAAUUAGGAUAUCAAUUUUUGGUCUAAUUCUCCUUUAUUUUCUAAUAAGAUUAUAGUUUGUUUAAACAAUAUGUGAUGAUUGAAUCUCCACUUUUUUUCAUUUUUACAAUUUGUUAGCCACAUUCUAUGUAUAAUACAACUACGACGCUAUGUUUUAUGACUUUUGAUUGUUGAAAAUAUUGAUCUCAUUUGCUAUAUUCAUGACUUUUAAAUUUUUUUUAGGUUUUAUGACUUUUUACGAGCAACAAAUGUCGUUGGAAAGUAGCUAUACAUUUCCUUCUCCUUUAAUAUUUUAUUCACUGGAUUAUUGUGGGGAUGGUUUGGAUGAGUUGUUUGAGCUUUUUUGGUUCCUUUUUCUCUAUGUAAUGGUUUUUCUGUGUGCUUCUAUGUUUGGGUGCAUGUAAUUUUUUAAUAGCAACUGCAAUUUUUAUUUUUAUUUUUUUCACAGUUUAUAAUUAUAUGUGGUGUCAAAAACAGUCUCUCUACCUUAUCAAGUUAUUGUUAAGGUUGUGUACACCACCUUCCCUAUACCUCACUUGUGGAAGACCUAGCAAAGUACAAAAUAUGAAUGAAGCAAACGAUCAGUAGGCAACUCCAAUGGUUAGGAUUAAUGUUUAUUAUGUUUUGCUACAGUUAUAUCAAGUAUGUUGUUUGCCAGGAGUCCUUUUUGUUCAUUACUGAUUUGUAUUUCGGAUGGAAAUAUAAAAAAUCUUUGUAAUAGAGUACCUUAAUAAUUUAUGAGUAUUGGAAUGAAACUGCUCCAAAUGAAACAAAAUGUAUAUUUAGUGUUCAUAUAGCCCACCUCAAUUGACUUAGAUUUGAAGCAUAGCUUUUUAAAUUUGUUGAUCGUAGUUUUAUGUACAUAGCAUCUUCUUUUUCUUGAUCAAAGUAGGAUCAUUUUUUCAUUAUAUUUGCUAGGUUCAUCAUGUCCAAAACAACUUCUUCUUUUCCUUUGCAAGGUCAGAUCAUUUUGAACUUCUCUCAUUUUUCAUUCCUUCAUUGUUAUGCUAAAUCUUUGAACGAGUUGUAGCUACAAUAGAAUUAUGUGACGGACACAAUACUUUUGAAAUGUAGUUUAUAUGCAUUUUAUAAGUUGUAUAUGUAUAUUAUUACCAAUAUUUAGAAGUAAGAGUUAGAGAGGAUGAACACGGCUAUGAUUAGUUGUACAAAUAGUAUUUAAAAUUGUACUAUAAAACAUAGGGUCAUUUUGUUGGCCUUUUGUGUCUGUGGAUUUAUUUAAUUGGUUAUUGUUACACGUGUAAUAGAUUGUCAUUCGUGUCAAAAAAUAACUCCCUCAAAUGAAUAGAGAAACGGAGACUGGAAUGUUCCAUUCCCAUUUUCUUUACUGUGAUUCUCAAUUUACCCAUUUUCUCAGUUUUUUUCUUCUCUUUCUUCAUUUGGAUCUAUUAGUAUUAGUUUAUUUAUUUACUCUCCUUUUCCAGAUUUGACCUAAUUUUCAAGAUCUAUUUGAUGCUUGCAUUGAGAGGUAAUUAAUUCUCUUCUUACAUUUCUGUUCUCUAAAGUUUAAUGUAUUUGGUAUUAACUUUUAUAUUUGAUGGAUUUUUCUCCUUUUACAUUGUUUUUAUUUAGAUUUUGUUUCAUGAAAAUGGAAAUAAGAUUGAACUUAGAUAGUAGGAGUGCCAGAAAAUAAGAUGAAGAGAUUUUGUUAGGUUGCUUAUGUCAUUUGGUUGAUGUACAUGUUUUGAACUGUGAGUGUAUCUUAGCAUAGUUUUGAGCAUUGAUGACCUCUCUGAAUUUAACCACUCUAUUUGAGAUCCCAUUUCUUGGGUGGGAAGUCUCAAAUUGAAAAUAAAGUUGUGGGUUUGAAGAUCUUAAUGUUAGAAUUUGUGAUAUAUCCCUCCUCAAUUGUUGCUGCACAUGUUUUGUCACCCUUUGCAAUAAAUUUUGAGCGGUCUGUUGUAGCUUGAGGGUAAUCGUCAUAAAAAAAUUGACAUCUUUUUGGGUUCAAAACAAUGUUUUAAUCUCGCACCAACGUGUGACUUUUAGUCUUUUCCAUAAGCGUUCUAACUUGGACAAGUUAUUGCUCAACAUGAUAUCAAAAUCUAAUUAACGAAUGAGGUAUUUAGUCGUAGUGACCUAUUUGAUAAUUCUCAUAGUUGUCAAUAACAACAGCAUACCCAUUCAAAUUCCACAAGUGGAGUAUGAGGAGGAUAAAGUGUAAGAAGACCUUACCUCUACCUCAUGAAAGUAGAGAAAUUGUUUUUGAAAUUUUCAUAGUUGUCCAAUUAUCUUAUUAUGUUGGUAUAAUCGUAUAAGAAGCCUCUUGUAGAAGUAAUUGAAGGAGUUGCAGCAGGAAAAAUUAGUGUUCCCACAAAAAAGUAUUCUGGCACGACAACGGAUGAGGUCACCUACUUUUAUUUCGAAUUCUUAUGGAUUUAACUCCUUUAUGAUUAAAGACGUUUGAUAAACGUGGCAAUUAAUACUUUUGGAUCCUUGCUCGCUUUUAUAAUUAUUCCUCGACUUAGCUAAUGUGGCAGAAAACAAUCAAGGUUUAGAGACAGAACAAGAAGUAGGCUAAACUAUGGGAAGGGUUGAUUCAGAUUCUCUUGAUUUUCAUGUCCUUCAGGUACAAUGACACAUACUUUUUUCAGGUUCUUCAAAUUUUGGCCCCUUUUUGUUCAAAAAGAACCAUAGUGUUCUGUUUAGUGUACUAAUAAUAUUUAGUGACAGAUUAUGGUGUUGUAUAUUGUAUUUAUUGCAUAUUGGAUUUGAUCACUUCUGUUAAGUCUUGGCAAAAAAUAGGUUUAAGUAUACAUUUAUGUAGAUGUGCUAAGGUGAGGAAUUGCAAUCAGUUACUUCCUGAGAUGCAACUGGAAGAGAGAUAUACGGUACACAAAUAAAAUGUAAAGAAAAAGGGCAAGUGCGACAUUUUAUUGUUGUUAGAAUUGGUAGCCAAAUACAUGUGAAUAUGAGAAGAAAAUGCCAAAGCACAUCCUUAUGUUUCUUAAAGCUAAAAGCAAAAAACAUCAUAACCAUGAAGAACAAGAGAAAUGCAGUAUAUUGUUCAUUUAUGCUAUUCUUACAUCUAGAUUGGAAAAAAUAUUAUGCUACUUCUGUCUCACUGUACUUUUCAUUUCAAGGUACACCAACAAUAUGAGUUAAAAGGAGAUGAUCUACGUGGAAAUAACAGACAACCGAUUGAGUUCAAUUCUCACGUUAGCUAUGUCUAAGAUCUGAGGAUUCGAUGAGCAAUUUUGUUAGUCAAUACUGGUGUUAUCUUAUUUUUCAUGUAUGAAAGGCCUAAUUGUCUUAAUUGAGGGUUGCAGUUAAUUAAGUUAUAGACACUAGUAUCUAUAGUUAUGUUGUUAAAGGUUCAGACAAACAUCUCUCUCCUUAAUUGAGGGUUGGAGCAAGUACUUUGGCUAAUUGUUACAACUUAAAUCUGAUUUGUCAUUUUUAGCCUCGUAGGUUGUAGUUAAAUUCACCUUUACAAAGCACGGUGGCAUCUAUCAUUGAUCAACCUUUGUACAUAAUCGACUUUUCCUUGCAUC